GUGCUUGAUUUGGCAUUACAUAUACUAAAAUUGGAACGAUAUAGAACAGAUUAACAUGGCCCCUGCACAAGGAUGACAUGUAAAGUCACGAAGCUUUCCACAUUUUU
ensembl:snRNA U6 U6 spliceosomal RNA